UACGAACGCUGGCGGCGUGCUUAACACAUGCAAGUCGAACGGAAAGGCCCUGCUUUUGUGGGGUGCUCGAGUGGCGAACGGGUGAGUAACACGUGAGUAACCUGCCCUUGACUUUGGGAUAACUUCAGGAAACUGGGGCUAAUACCGGAUAGAAGCUCCUGCUGCAUGGUGGGGGUUGGAAAGUUUCGGCGGUUGGGGAUGGACUCGCGGCUUAUCAGCUUGUUGGUGGGGUAGUGGCUUACCAAGGCUUUGACGGGUAGCCGGCCUGAGAGGGUGACCGGCCACAUUGGGACUGAGAUACGGCCCAGACUCCUACGGGAGGCAGCAGUGGGGAAUAUUGCACAAUGGGCGGAAGCCUGAUGCAGCAACGCCGCGUGCGGGAUGACGGCCUUCGGGUUGUAAACCGCUUUCGCCUGUGACGAAGCGUGAGUGACGGUAAUGGGUAAAGAAGCACCGGCUAACUACGUG
rnacentral:rRNA from 1 species